rfam:Agrilus planipennis Contig70861, whole genome shotgun sequence.
AUAGCUAUGGAGAUAUGGUGCCUGAAACAAUAGCUGGUAAAAUUGUUGGAGGAGUUUGCUCUCUUAGUGGUGUCCUUGUAAUUGCCUUGCCUGUACCAGUAAUUGUAUCAAAU